rnacentral:lncRNA from 1 species
AAUAUAAACAGACAGUAUAUGCAGUUUAUAUGGCUUUCAAAAACAGUGAUGUGCUGAGCAACAUGAAUUCAGUGCUCUACUUUCCCAAAAACCUGAGCAAAUUAUUCUAGACAGGCAGUUUUAUGUAAUGCUUGUUAUGAAAGCCAGCUACAAACGUAUUAAUAUUUUAAAGUUGUUUUUCAUUUUUUUUGUCUCAAAUCAAUGAAUCUUCCAUUGAAAGUGACCUUAGAAGUGUUUACACUCAAUUUCUGAAAAAUUGUGUAUUUGUUUGUUGGCUUAAAAUGCCACUUUUUUAUCUCUGCAAUUUGUUGCUAAGUUGCCUUAAAAGCAGACAGGUAAUAAAUUGCUUCCCAUACAAAGUUGCUUCAGUAAACCCUAUUAGAAGAAUACUACACAGCAUUCUCAUUUUUUGAACUGAAUGUCACCUUUCCUUGUAAAAAGUAUAUUUUUCAUUGAGUGUAUUUCCUACGUAGAAGAACAGGAAAACAUUUCAACAGACUGAUUGAUUAAUUUAAUUUUUCACUUGGUUCAUGUGAAUUCUGAUUCUAGGUACAAAAUACAUUAUCUAUUUAUAUUUAAUUUAAACCCUAUAUGAAGAGCUAAAAAGCAGCCUGCAAGAUUCCUGCCUGAUUCUGACUCAUUUUUUGCAGCGAUUCCUCCCUGAUGUGAAUUGCACUAACAGAUCCUAUUUAUCUCUCAUACUUGUCUUGAAGGAUACGUUUAAUUUCUUCAGGGAAUUACUUGGGCUGCAGAUGGUUCACAAAUGUGCCUGCAAUACCUCCAUGUGCUGCUGGAGUACACCUCAGCUCUCUGCUUGUCUCCCUGGAUUCUCACCAUCCUGCACCUACAGGAGUAGCCAAACAUUGCACAUUGCUGCAAGCCUGUCCAAACCAGGGGGGGCCACCCCGCUCUGAUGGGGUGUGAAAGCAUCCAUUGCUUGAAAAUCUCAAGCUGAAGCCCUAGAUUUUGAAGGUUAAAUUUUAGAGGGUGUGCAUCCUUCAUUCCUAAAUCUUCUUUCCUGCCCUGGAGGACACAGUGGAUGGAAGCUAGUUACUAAGUCUUGUUUUCUUUCCAAACAAAUCCUGGAGCUUUAAGCACACUUUUUAUUUGUC